GACGAACGCUGGCGGCGUGCCUAAUACAUGCAAGUCGAACGAGAGCGACCGGUGCUUGCACUGGUCAAUCUAGUGGCGAACGGGUGAGUAACACGUGGGUAACCUGCCCAUCAGAGGGGGAUAACAUCCGGAAACGGAUGCUAAAACCGCAUAGGUCUUCGAACCGCAUGGUUUGAAGAGGAAAAGAGGCGCAAGCUUCUGCUGAUGGAUGGACCCGCGGUGCAUUAGCUAGUUGGUGAGGUAACGGCUCACCAAGGCCGUGAUGCAUAGCCGACCUGAGAGGGUGAUCGGCCACAUUGGGACUGAGACACGGCCCAAACUCCUACGGGAGGCAGCAGUAGGGAAUCUUCCGCAAUGGACGCAAGUCUGACGGAGCAACGCCGUGUGAGUGAAGAAGGUUUUCGGAUCGUAAAACUCUGUUGUUAGAGAAGAACAAGUGCUAGAGUAACUGUUAGCGCCUUGACGGUAUCUAACCAGAAAGCCACGGCUAACUACGUG
rnacentral:rRNA from 1 species